ensembl:lncRNA
AUUCCACACAUUGCCUGGAGUAUGAGGGAAGGAGACGGAACCAAGCUCCAGACUAUACUUUUGAGAUUUCUCAAAAACGUAAGUGAGAAUUCAGACUGAGCAGUUUUGAUGAAAGAAGCUCCUUAAAGAGGAGAGGAACCUCAAAAUUAGGGAGGAAGGUUAGAAACAAGAGUGUUUCUCCUGAGAGCUCCUGUGGAAAAAUUUGUCUUUUUUUGCACUUUUCCUGUGGGCUAUGGGGACAGACUCUUGCCUGUGGCCACCCACCUGGGGAAGCUGUAGCCUGGUGAACUAGGGCCAACCAGUUGUGAAGUGGGAGCAAAGCCACCAGGUGGACAACUCAGAUCCUUCUGCCAUGUGAGGACACAACAAGAAGUUUGCAACCUGGAAGAGAGCUCUCACAUGACCAUGCUGGCACCCUGAUCUCAGACUUCCAGCCUCCAGAAUUGUGAGCAAUGGAUUUGUGUUGUUUAUAAGCUACUCAGUCUACAGCAUUUUUUAUAGCCACCCAAAUAGACUAAGACAGAAAAUUGGUACCAAGAGUGGAGUUGCUGUUUUAACAAAUAUCUAAGAAUGUAGAAGUGGCUUUGGAACUGGAUAAUUGGUAGUGUCUGUGCUACUGAACCUCCUAAUCUCAAGUUUGUGUGCCCAUGCACAAUAAGCCAAUCACUGAGACAUUGUUGCUGGGAAAUGGAGAAAGGUUUAUUUAAAUUGGCCAAAACAGAAGGUGGGAGAACAAUCUACCUUAAAGAAAGCAGAAAGCAGGGAGUCUUAAUAGAGCUAAGGAGCUUGGGAGGAGGAAUUUCAGAGAAACAAAGGAGAAGUCCAUGUUUCUUUCAUUCCAAAUAAGCCCUUGGGCAACCAGACAUCUAGGCAUCUAUGCAGCUGGGGGUAGGUUAUCUGGUGAUGGUAACUUCCUUAAAGGCAUUCUUUUUCUUCUGCAAAACAAGCUUAUAAAUCCUUGUGACCCUUGAGCCACACGUCAGGUUAAACAAGAAAACAGCAAAUUAACAAGAUUAGCUUCUCAUCUGUGUCUGUGCUGGGAACAAAGUGGAAGGGUAAUCAUAUUCUUAUUGAAUAUUUACAGUGACCCUCAGUUAUCUGGCUUCAUGCUGGAAAAAGCCUACUAUGCUGUGAAUGGAUCACAAAGGGCAAUUCUGGUGAGCAUUCAGAAGAGGAGAGCUGUAGAGAAAGCCUCAGUCUUCGUAGAGAAUACCUAAGGGGUUGUUAACAGAAUGAUGAUAGCAAUAUGGAUGAUAAAGGUUAUUCUGUUGCGUCUCAGACAGAAAUAAGGAACAUCUUUUUGGAAAGUGGAGGAAAGGCAAUCCUUGUUUUAAUGGGCAAAGAGCUUAGCUGAAUUGUGUUCCUGUCCCAGUGUUUUGUGGAAGGUAGAACUUGUAAGCAAUGAAAAGUGGAUAUUUGGCUGAAGAAAUUUCUAAGCAAAGUGUUGAAGAAGCAGCCUGGUUUCUUUUAAUGCUUAUAGUAAAAUUCGAAAAGAGAGAAAGGAUUUAAAGGUGGAAUUGUUAAUCGAAAAGGAAGCAGAAUUUAAAAAUUUGGAAAGUUCUCAGUCUAUCCAUUCUGAAAGAAAUAAGAAAGCUUGUUUGGGAGAGAAUACGCAGAGUGUGGUCAAACUUGAUAAAGAGAUUGGUGUGGAUUUCCUAUCUCAACUGAAGAUAGGAGCUAUUCAUCAAGGUAAUGGGGAGAUUGGUACGCCCUCUAAACAGAAGCCAGGACCUACUGUUCCAGACAAUGGAAGAAAGACCCCAAAGGCAUUACGGACUGGCCCUACCCAAAUGGUCCAGAGUUCAAGGGCCUGGGGGGCAGAUCAGUUUCAAAGGAGGGGCUGCUGGCUGCCUCCUGUGGCAUGCUCUGCUUCCUCAAUGCUUGUGCUGCACUCUGCAGCCUCCAGGUGCUGCUUGGCUGCUUCUCCGGAGAACACAGACAGUAAACUUUGGCAGAGUCACUACAGAGCUCAGAGUGAACUAGUUACCAGCCACUAGUUGUAGGGGCAUGGAUAUCGCCACCUAAACUUGGAAAGAUAGCCUCCCAGAGCAGCGGGCUCAGGAGGACAAAGGGCCACUGCAGAGAUCCCACUAGGUCAAUAACCAAUGGAGCCCUGGGGGUGGGGCUGCUUCUGAGAUCCCAGCCUCAAAGAGGAACAGGCAUGGGACUCCAACCUGUGAGAGCUGCUGUCCGGGCUGCACCCAGCAAAGCUGUGGGGGCAGGGCCACCCAAUGCUUUGGGGGCCCAACUUCCACCCCAGAGUGUCUUAGAAGGCGGGACUUCUGCCCCAUUGGGCCUUAAGGUUUUGGACUUGCUGGGAAACUAUUACCCCUUUCUUCUUUCCUAUUUAUCCCUUUUGGAAUAGAAAGGUUUAUCCCAUGCCUGCCCUUCCUUUGUAUUUUGGUAGCAUAUAACUUCUUCAAUUUCACAGUUUCACAGCUGGAGAGUGAUUUGCCUACGGAUGAAUGUCUCACCCAGAUCUGUUUUAGAUAAGACUUUGGACUUAGACUUUUGAGUUGAUGCUGAAAGAAGUUAAGACUUUUGGGGUUGCUGAGAUGGAAUGAAAGUAUUCUGCAUGUGAGAAGGACAUGAAUUUUGGAGGGCCAGGGGUGGAACGCUGUUGUCUGAAUGUUUGCGUCCCCACUAAAUUCAUAUGUGGAAAUUCUAACCACCGAAGUCUGAAAAGUGAUUAGAUCAUGAAGUCAGAGCCCUCAUGAACAUGGUAAAUGCCUUUACAAAAGAGGCUCCAGACAGAUCCUUUGUCUCUUCCACCACGUGAGGACACAGCACAAAGGUACCAGCUAUGAACCAGGAAGAGGGCCCUUGCUGACCAUGCUGGCACCUUGACCUUGGACUUUCCAGCUUCCAGAACUGUGAGAAAUAAAUUUCUGUUGUUUAUAAAGCUACUCAGUCUGUGGCAUUUUGUUGCAGCAGCUGAACGGACUAAGACAUAACCAAAAAAGUCUUAAUAGAUAUAACCGAGUUUAAAGUUAAA